AUUGAACGCUGGCGGCAGGCCUAACACAUGCAAGUCGAACGAGUGGCGGACGGGUGAGUAAUGUCUGGGAAACUGCCCGAUGGAGGGGGAUAACUACUGGAAACGGUAGCUAAUACCGCAUACCAUCGGAUGUGCCCAGAUGGGAUUAGCUAGUAGGUGGGGUAACGGCUCACCUAGGCUACGAUCCCUAUCUGGUCUGUGAGGAUGACCAGCCACACGGGAACUGAGACACGGUCCUGACUCCUACGGAAGGCAGCAGUGGGUAAUAUUGGACACUGGGCGCAAGCCUGAUGCAGCCAUGCCGCGUGGAUGAAGAAGGGCUUAGGGUUGUAAAGUACUUUCAGCGAGUAGGCGUUACUCGCAGAAGAAGCACCGGCUAACUCCGUGCCAGCAGCCGCGGUAAUAC
rnacentral:rRNA from 1 species